rnacentral:lncRNA from 1 species
GAACAGGGGUGACACCACCAGGUUUAUUGGGAUGGAGCUGGGGGACCCCAAAACCGCAGGGACAGUCGGACGGAGCGUCAGUCGGACAGAGGGACAGACAGGACAGUGUCACUGCACUGUGGCCAUGGGCUCAUGAUGGUCACUGCGGUCAGGAACUGUCCCCAGGGUGGUCACUGUGGUCACUGUGGUGGUCACUGCGGUCAGGAGCUGUCCCCAGGGUGGUCACUGUGAUGGUCACUGUGGUCAGGAGCUGUCCCCAUGGUGGUCAUGAUGGUCACUGUGGUGGUCAUUGCUCCAUGGUGGUGUCCUCAUGAUGGUCACUGUGGUCAGGAGCUGUCCCCAUGGUGGUCACUGUGGUGGUCACUGUGGUGGUCACUGCUCCAUGGUGGUGUCCUCAUGGUGGUCACUGUGGUGGUCACUGUGGUGGUCACUGCAAUGGUCACUGUUCCAUGGUGGUGUCCUCGUGGUGGUCACUGUGGUAGUCACUGUGGUCACUGUGAUGGUCACUGUGAUGGUCACUGUGGUCAGGAGCUGUCCCCAGGGUGGUCACUGUGGUCACUGUGGUGGUCACUGCUCCAUGGUGGUGUCCUCAUGGUGGUCACUGUGGUCAGGAACUGUCCCCAGGGUGGUCACUGUGGUGGUCACUGCUCCAUGGUGGUGUCCCCAUGGUGGCCGUGGUGGUCACUGUGGUGGUCACUGCUCUGUGGUGGUAUCCCCAUGAUGGUCACUGUGGUCAGGAGCUGUCCCCAUGGUGGUCACUGUGGUCACUGUGGUGGUCACUGUGGUCACUGCUCCAUGGCGGUGUCCCAGGGUGGUCAGUGUGGUGGCCAGGGUGGUCAGUGUGGUGGUCACUGUGGUCACUCAGUGCUCCAUGGCUGUGUGCCAGGGUGGUCACCACGAUGGUCA